UUGGGUUUGAGAGCGUAAGAACAAUGCUUUCAAAAGAGUUAUAGUUUAGUUUAGGUUUAGGAUUGAUUAAGAGGUUUGAGUCAUGUCGACCACCGGAAACACCCGACGCCGUGUUUUGAUGUCACAAGUAUAAAAUAGUCCACCAGUUGAAUACACAGACAGCACGGCAGAAGCGGCAGACGUGGCGAUGUCGGACUCUGGCUCAGAUAUUUCGACAGAAUCGAGUGACAGUGAGUUGUCAAUAGACUCGUUGCACCUUCAAGAAGAGGAGUUUAUUGAAGAGGAUGCCGGUGUCGUGGAUUUAGAUCAUGCGGGUGAGUUUAACGUGGUAGAAACAGAGCAUCUCGAGACACAGUAUUCAAGAUGGAGACACAGACGGGAGCGAACAUGCGGAUGAUGGUGACGGUGAUCCUGGAUUUGGCGGAGAUCCUGUGCGACAACAGAACACAGACAGGUGUACAUGUGAAAACUGUACAAUUAUGCAAGCAAUUGAAGAGCUGCUGCCAAGAAAAGGAUGUCAUGGAGGAAUUCAAUGAAUAUGAGGGACAUGGUGCAAACAUAACCUGCAUAACAGAUCAACCAGGAUUCAAAUCAAAUUGUCUGGAUGUUUGGGUGUUGCAGACAGCCUACCAAAGGUAUUCGAAGAGGGACAGACAACAAGCAGGUGAUCGGCCACGUAAUGAAAUGUAUCCAAUCCAAUGUACCGCCGGUGAGAUUUUGUUGGGGAAUACUUGCACAACAACAUCCCUCUUGUUUGGUUCGUCCACCGACUGCUGAGUGGAGCUGGGACUUCGAAAGGUUCCUCAUCAACAUUGUCUUGGCACAAAGCGUAGAGUCUCGGUCAAGAGUUCAGUAACAUACUCUGCAAAAAAAGAUGUUUUAUAAUCAAGCAUUAUAUAUAUAUGUAUGUGUGUAUGUGUAUGUAUAUAUAUAUAUAUAUAUAUAUAUAUAUAUAUGUAUGUAUAUUAUGAUGCUGACCUUUGGAACAACCAACUUGGAUUGGAACUUGCAGUCCAGCUGACCUGACACGUGGUCGCGCCUGCAUGGACUUGUGGUGUGUCCGUGGAGGGGGAUCCAUCUGCACAGCAAUUUCUUUCUGACAUGUCUGAAAUGUACAAAACACAACUUUACUAAUAAAUCUUUCAAACCAGCUUGAAAUUGUAUUGCAUGUUUAUACAUGUCUGCGUAAGGAAAAUAUCUAAUAACAUUCAUAAUAAAAGAUGUGGUUGAAUUGAUUGAGAGAGCAAUGAUAUCAAAUUAAACAAAUAUAUGAAUUAUGUACAUGCAUGUGGUGAUUGUAUGUUUAACACGUAAUGUACCGGUCUACUGGUACUGCAACUGUAAUGUACAGAUGACGUACAGUCUGUAUACUUACUGGUGUACACACAGCUUCCUCCUCAGUGUGGAUGUCCAAUAGAUGGUCGCUGAUCAUACAGGUAUCCUCAGUUCUGUCAGUGGCUUCAUUCACCAAUGUUUCAAUACCUCUGUAAUAAUAGGGUGAUAGUUAAAAGUUAAAUAGACUCAAUAACAUAACAUAUGUAGGUAUGUAGGUAGGUAGGUAGGUAGGUACUUUAUUCAUCCCGAGGGAAAUUUAGGAAAAAUUUACAUUACAGUGUACAUUUGUAUGUAUGUAUUUGUAUUGUAUUAUGGCUUUAUGCUUGAAACAAUAAAUACAGUAAACAAGUAGCACGGCUUACCUUUGCUCUCUCCCUUUUGGCGAAUGCAUCUCGAGCAUAGUUUGUUUGAAACACGAUCUCUCAAAGUGCUGCCCACAAAUCGUCGGUUUCAUCAACGCACUUGUCUUGUUCAUAAACGCGACAUUUUAUCAUCUUUUGGCCACAGAAAACUAGAUUUGGAGACGGCCCCACAUCCCCAUACAACACAUCGCUUCACAAUUAUCCUUGACGAUCGUUUGUUGUUUAGAUAUCUGUGUGUUUACUGUUGCACUGGGGUCUGUAUGGUCCGUGUAAUGUUAUGUUUUGAUAGUUUGUAUGUUGGAUUGGGUCCGGGUGGCAGAGAGUCGAGAUAGUACAACUUCCCCGGAGGGGAGAGUGCAGCGGCUCUGGCGGCUCGGAUUCGGCCAGCGAGUCACAGCAGGCUGAUGAAGCGCUGGGUCUAAUCUGUGUAACGGCAGAAACAGAAAGUUUGACGAUCCAUCGGAUAGUCGAUGCUAACUGCUCACUGCUAACGGAAGAUAUGUCCAUUUCCCAGCCACCGCACACUCAACUUCUGGCGAACCAGCCUUUCCGUGGCCGGUGAGGACGAGGCGAGGGUGUGAGUUGUUUUCUCGUUUUUUGCCCCUUUGGAUUGAAUCAAAACAAACAAUCAAAACGUGCAGGGAUCAUGGAUGUAAUGUUGACAAGCCUUGAGUCGGCCCGAGUCAGACAGCUGUACCUCUUCUCUCUCUGUACUGAGGCAGACUGCAGCUACAGUGACUCACUAUCACCUCUAGAGGAACAAGUGGUAUUACAGACUGGACGGAGCGCAGCUAG
rnacentral:lncRNA from 1 species